rnacentral:rRNA from 1 species
CGAGUUCCUGUACGAUCACCGAAGUUAAGCAACGUCGAGCCUGGUCAGUAGCUAGAUGGGUAACCGUUUGGGAAUACCAGGUGCUGUAAG